UAAAGCAUUUUUUUUUCCCUUUCCUUCCCCCCCACCCUCGCGCCCGCUUUGUUUUCUCCAUUUCGUUUGUUUAGGUUUAACUGUGCUUAGAAACAAAGAAAAACACAUGAAAAACAACAACAACAACAAAAAAAGAAGAUAACCAGGUUCAUCUUGAAACAGGAAUUGAAGCAGACUCACAGACCCUCUCAUAUUUUCAAAGAUGUGUGUACGAAAUCCUUCACGUUAACGGCAGACAUGGCAACUCUGGCUGACUGUGAUCCGUGGAGAAGGGCCCGAGGAGCAGGAUGCAGAUGUGAACAACCUGGAACAGGGACUGCCACAGGAAGCAGGCAAAGCAGGGAGGAAGGAAGCAGCAGUUUGCAGGUCUCAGACUAAGGUGGAUGGUGAUGCCAAGGUCAGGAGCUGAUGUAUUUUAGGAAGGAAGGGAGCCAGAGCCAGAGCUGGUGCCAGCAUGGUCCCAGCACCUGAUGAGGCAGGAUCCUUCCCCUUGGAGAUGAUUUUCCCUGUCCAGCACGGCUUUGCAGCCCAGGACUGAAGACCCCACCUCACCUCUAGGGGAAGAUGAAGUUAUAGGAGGUGGAGGCACUGACAGCCAGCCUAAAAUGAAAAAGGGACACAGCCUGUGGCAGCCCAGCCUUACCCUGUCUGCAGCCUGCUGAGGGGGUCAGGAUGAUGCUCCCAAGGACACGAGUGACCAGGAAAGUGGCUGAUGACCAGUGGGAGUCCCCAGUAUGAGAAGGAGGUUGGAGUCAGCAACAGGGGAGCAACCCGGAUACCCAUCGCUGCACUUCAAAAGGCUGAGUCCCACGACUUGCGGAGCGGUUUGGAGUCAUGUCCCGGGGAGGUGGUCACGCCGUGGUGAUGGCAUUGAGGUCCUUCAUCAGUCCUUCCAGGUGGGCCAUCUCUUUGGUCAGCUCAUCCGGCUCGUAGGUCUGGGGAGAGGGAGAGGGUUACUACAGGGGGCCUUGGCUCUCCUUAGGGAGGGACAGGACAGGAAACACAGAGGAAUGGUCAGGGACUGCUGUGGGAUAUGGCUCUGACUCGGGAAUAACCACACGUGGAUUGGAUUUAGCCACAGUUACAGGAAUUAAUAACUUGAAAGAACACUCUAAGGAGUGGCUGGAGCUGUGCCAGGGGAGGUUUAGGUUGGACAGUAGGAAAAGGUUCUUCCCCCAGAGGGUGG